rnacentral:lncRNA from 1 species
AAGAUGAUUGCUGCUCCCAGACUCCUAGCCGGGUUAAUGCCAGUUCCGGUGAUGGGAAUGGUGGCCAAGUGCACCAAGAACACUGCGAACCCAAUGGGGAGAGGUGCCAAGAUCUGCAGUAGCAAAAGGCAUUAAUUUCAUAAAGCAUACUCGAAGGAAGAGAAAAGGGAUAGGGUAAAGGACACUCUUCGCAUGCUCAAAACUACAAAAGAUGUGAGGAAGUCAAUCAUUUAAACAAGGGUCCAUCGCUACUAUUAAGGGGAUUUCUGGAGAGCAUCAUUCUCGAUCCCACCCCAUCAAACAUCGCACUCAAAGAACUCCAAUAAAGGCAACGACAAACAAAUCACAUGCUAUGUUUGCGGAAGAUCACUUACCCAGCUCAGCACUAUGAACUUAUAUCCAUCUUAAGCCACAUGAAAGCUUAUAUAACUAAUCAAUUCUUUCUACACAGGAAACUAGGGAACUUUCAGUCCUGGAAGAUAAAUGGUUAGAUCUAUAAAGGGAAGUAAUUAAGCAAACUUCUCUGUGCUACUAGGUUUCAUAAGGAAUCGUUCAUUACCAAGAUCAAAAAUAUUCAACACACGGGCAGCAGCAAGAAGCUUUCAGGGUAUGUUAGUUACAAAAGCAGGACAUGCACAAAAAGGAAACAAGAGUUAAAAGACAGUAGCACAUACAGGAACGUGAGAGUCUCUGGCGCUUCUCUUGGCAUCAGUAGCUGAGAACACAGUGUAGACAAGGACAAAGGUACCGAUGAUCUCAGCACCAAGACCACUACCCUUGGUGUAUCCACCUGCCACAACGUUGGCACCAC